rnacentral:rRNA from 1 species
GAGUUUGAUCAUGGCUCAGGAUGAACGCUAGCGGCAGGCUUAACACAUGCAAGUCGAGGGGCAGCGCAGGUAGCAAUACUGGGCGGCGACCGGCAAACGGGUGCGGAACACGUACGCAAUCUACCUUUAUCUGGGGUAUAGCCCGGAGAAAUCCGGAUUAACCCCCCAUAAUAUAUAGGAGUGGCAUCACUCAAAUAUUAAAACUCAGGUGGAUAAAGAUGAGCGUGCGUCCCAUUAGCUAGUUGGUAGGGUAACGGCCUACCAAGGCGACGAUGGGUAGCUGGUGUGAGAGCACGACCAGCCACACGGGCACUGAGACACGGGCCCGACUCCUACGGGAGGCAGCAGUGAGGAAUAUUGGUCAAUGGACGCAAGUCUGAACCAGCCAUGUCGCGUGAAGGAUGAAGGCCUUCUGGGUUGUAAACUUCUUUUAUUGGGAAGAAACUAUGGUUUCUACUAUAGCCGACGGUACCCAAGGAAUAAGCACCGGCUAACCCCGUGCCAGCCGCCGCCGUAAG